rnacentral:rRNA from 1 species
AGCUUUAUGUCAUUCAUCUAAAGUAAUUCCUGCUCAGUGCACACAAACAGCCGCAGAACUUUAUACUGUGCUAAGGUAGCAUAAUCACUUGUCUUCUAAUUAAAGAAUAGAAUGAACGGAACAACGAAUUUUAACCUGUUUCACUUUUUCUCAAUAAAACUACUUAAAAGUAAAAACACUUUUACUCAAAAAAAAGACGAUAAGACCCUAAAGAACUUCACUAAAGUUAAGCUGGGGCGGCCUAAAUAAAAAAAUCUUAUUUAAUAUCGUUCAUCCUAAUUAUAUUACUACUAAUGUUACCUUAGGGAUAACAGCACAAUUUAAUUUUACAGCUCUUAUUCAAAAUUAAGAUUGUGACCUCGAUGUUGAAUUAAAAAUCUAUUAAACGAAAAAAAUUAACAAGAAAGUCUGUUCGACCUUUAAACAAUUACA